CUGACAGGUUCCGUGGGAAAAUGAAAAUGUAAUGCUAUUAUCAGACAUUCGCCAUGGAAUGUACUUCACCACCUUAAACAGAAAAGAUGCUGCUGUAAGACUGUGCCCCAAGGUUGCAAUUUAAUCAGCAGCCUGAAGGGAGUGCUGCUGCGCCGGGGCAGUGUAUCCUAAAGACAUGGAGGCGGAGAGGGCCAUGCUGAUGGUGACCAUGCUGUUGGCCAAAAAGGUGGCUGGUCACACCAUCCUCGCUCCCUGAUGUCUUUCACACAACAGAAACAUAAACUCAACUAAGGUCAUAGGACCUAUGAUUGCAGACUGACUAGGAGAGUGAAGAGUUCAUUCACAUUUAAAGAAAGCAGCAGC